GGCCCCUUCAGCACCAGCGCGGCCGCGGACAGCGGCGGCCCCGGCGCGGCGCGGGCACCACACGGGGCGGCUGCACCGUGAGCGUCCCGCACACCGGCACGGAGCGUCCCCUACGCCCGCACGGUGCAUGUCCCCGCACGCAGGUCCUGUCGCCCUGACAUCUGAUGUCCAGUUGGAUGUUUUUGCACAUUUGGUGAAAGCUUGACUCAGUCUUUCUCCCCAACUCGGUGUCGUCAGCUUUCCUGGGGAGCUUUGUGUUUCUAUCAGCAACAAGAUGACAAUUCAUAUUUCUACCAAAUGAUGCAGUGACUCAUCCUAUUAACUCUGCUGGAAUACACACUUCCAGUUGUCCUGCCACGGUUCCCCAGAUGCUUUACUGCUUCUCCUUGUCUCGUCUGGGUUUAAAUUACGACUGGAAGUCCCUCCACGUUUGACAUUGCUGCCUUUGGAGCUUAUGUCAGCUGCAGUCCUGAACCAACUGAUAUCACAAUGACUGAGGACUUGGACCACAGAUUCAGCUAUCUCACCUGGGAUCAGAUCAAAAUCCUGGAUCAGGUUUUAACUGAGGCUAUACCUAUUCAUGGCAGAGGAAAUUUUCCAACCCUGGAAGUAAAGCCGAAGGAUAUAAUCCAUAUGGUAAAGGAGCAGCUGAUUGAGAAGCAGAUCCAUGUCAGGGACAUCCGCCUGAACGGUUCCACUGCCAGUCACAUCCUGGUGAAGCACAAUGGCACCAGUUACAAGGACCUGGACAUCAUUUUUGGAGUGGAACUUCCCAGUGAGAUUGAGUUCCAAGUCGUUAAGGAAGCAGUUCUCAAUUGCCUGUUGGACUUCUUGCCAAAAUGUGUUAACAAGCAAAAAAUCACAGCUCAGACCAUGAAAGAUGCCUACGUGCAGAAGAUGGUCAAAGUCUCCACCGACCACGACCGCUGGAGCCUCAUCUCGCUGUCCAACAACAGCGGCAAGAACGUGGAGCUGAAGUUCGUCAGCUCGCUCCGGCGGCAGUUUGAGUUCAGCGUGGACUCCUUCCAGAUCAUCCUGGACUCCAUCCUGGCUGUCUACAGAGCCUCAGACCAGCCCCUGACACAGGACUGUCACCCUACCAUCAUCGCCGAGAGCAUGUACGGGGACUUCAACCAAGCCAUGGACCACCUGAAAUACAAACUGAUCUCCACCAGGAACCCGGAGGAGAUCAGGGGAGGCGGCCUCCUGAAGUACAGCAACCUCCUGGUCCGUGACUUUAAGCCGGCGGAUGAGGCUGAAAUUAAAUCCCUUGAACGUUACAUGUGCUCCAGAUUCUUCAUUGAUUUUCCCGACGUUGCCGAGCAGCAGAGGAAGAUCGAGUCCUACCUGCGCAACCACUUCAUCGGCGAGGAGAAGAGCAAGUACGACUACUUGAUGACCCUGCGUGGGGUGGUGAACAAGAGCACGGUCUGCCUCAUGGGGCACGAGAGAAGGCAAACCCUCAAUAUGAUCACAAUUCUGGCUUUAAAAGUGCUCGGAGAACAAAACAUCAUCCCGAAUGCAGCCAACGUCACGUGCUACUAUCAGCCUGCUCCCUAUAUCAGUGACAGAAGCUUCAGCAACUACUACAUUGCUCACGGACAACCACCUGUGUUCUACCAGCCGUACCCUUUCCACAUACAGCUACAGAGUGGGAUGGUGUAGGAACUCUCCGACCUCCAAGCACUCACCACUCCUCUCUUUCCAGUUCUUUCCCUCAUAAAGGCCUCAUUAAAGCGAGUUUUAUCAGCACUUUUGAGUUAAGGACAUAUUUUUGUGCAAGUUGCCAAAGUUGUUCGGUUGAUCAAUGUCUAACUCACCAUUAAGCAGGUGAAAUAAGUGAAGCGUCUGUCAUUCGUGAAGUGUUUAUACCUUGAUGUGUGUUUGGGCUGUAUUUUUUUGCAAUGAAAAGAGAAGGAUAUAAAUUAUUCUAAUUUUAUAAAAAUGAAAUGCACUAAGUUCUGGGUUCUAAAAAAAAAAAUCUUAAGCAAAAUUUAAAUGGUGUCAAUGAAAACUGAAGCCAAUGAAAUACCUCUCUGUAGAAAUGCCUGAUGUUAGAAGGGACAGUGCUCUGGGUACGUCAAAAUCAGUCAUCCCUUGGUUUUACCCAUGUAGUUCCAGCAACAUUUAUUUGCAGCACCUUUGAAAACACACAUUGAUGGGUCAUCUCUUGGCGGUGGAAUCUCUGCUGAUCGUUCCUCAGGUCAGUCAGAGACUCAGGGUCACUCCCCUCCCCAGAGUACUGGUUUGUACUGGUGAACAGGAAAUGCUCCUACCAAACGCAGGCUCAGCAUUUUGUGUAUCCAAAAUUUCCACUGAUCCCAGUGAAAGAUUUGGCUGCUCAAGUCAGGCAGUGUCAGAGACCAGGAUCUGCCUCACAGAUAACAAAAGCUGUAAGAGGUACAACUAUUCUGAUUAAAUUGGUCAUGAAAACCAAGGCAAGAGAAUGAAAAAGGAGGUGAAAAUUGAGCAGAAUGGGCUCACUUUCUAUUGCUAAUUUGUUAUUGAUCAUAGCUGCUUUAAUGCACAACAGAGUCAGGAAAAGCCUCCAAAAGCCCAGGACUGUGCUAUUUUUAGGUGAAUUAAAACAAAUCCUUGGCAGUGGCAUUUGAAAAACUAUUUUAUACUGGUAAAGUCCUGUCUGUGUUUAGAUACCUGCACACAUCCACCAGUAGCAAAUGAGGAUUUACGAUCAGGAAGCAAAACAUGAAUUACACAUUUGUGUGUGUGUGUGUGUGUGUUUACCAAAGAUAAGUUUUAAACAUGUCACGUAAGUGCCUCCCUGUGCCAGUUGCUCCAUGAAAUGUUGGAAAUGGUGCCAGAGAUCUCCUGAAUUAUGGAAAGGGAAACAUGGAAAGGGAAAUGCCCUGGGGUUGCAGAGUGUUUGUAGCUGCGACGGGUGGAGGGUUUGCUCCAGGAUGAGCAGGUUUGGGACAGAUGGUUCUAAGGUGGUGUCACCAAAACCAAACUUGGGAAAAAUAACAUGGAACUAGAAGGACUAGCAUUAAAAGGAAGUUUUGAAGGAGUGUGGGUAUAAAAUGGGAACAGCCAACUGAAAAUGCAAGCUGUAGAGUUUCUUACAUCGACUCUGUGUGCCACUAUGUUGUCCCUGUCACUGUUCAUUCUUAUCUCCUCCAGCUCCAGAGCAGUGGCUGCAUUGCAUCUGUUUACAACAGGUGUCAGGCCUUGGGAAUUUCUUCUACUUGGGCACAGGGGUUUGAUUUAUUUUAUGGAGAAAUAUGGUCAAUACAUGUGCUGUAUUAAAUCAAAUAUUUCUCAGUUUUCUAAGGUCUAUGAAGUCCGAUUGCCAGUGAAAUGUAGCUUUCCUUUUCCUCAUUAUAUUCCUGUACAUUUGAACAAAGAAUUGUUCAAAGACCAUCAUCACUAAAGUCAACUUUUUUCUGUAAAAUACAGUGCAAAAAUUGGUUUUUCUGCAACAUAAAAAGGGUUUGCUGAUGAAGCUGAUUCAUUUUGUGAUGUCUUUCAUGAAUAGAGUACUGUUACUUUUGCUGAUUUUUCAGAUAUGUCCAAUUUGGUGUCUAAAAGCACACUUUAUUCCACUUACACUAAGAUCUUUCCAUUGGUUAAACUAUAUUUAAUAAAACUGUCAAUUCUAAUUGCUCUGUGAUCAGCUAUGGUAACACCAUGUUUGCAUGAAAGCACUUCUAGGGAAUUUCCCCUGUCAGGAGCAAAAUUGAGUGAGACAUGAUGGAUUCCUUUUAUUUCUGUUUUAAUUGAACUGUCGAGAUGACAAAGGGAACCUUUCCAUUUAGUUUGGUGUUUGCCAUGUUAAAUAGCACUGUGAAAUUCUGUAAGAGCCUUAUGUGGGUCAUGUCCCUGCUACUGCUUGGGAUCUGCAGGGACAAGGAGCUGAGAGCUGAACUGGGGGAUCUGUAGGAAUCAGGCAUCCAAAAGCCUUAAAUUUCAGGAGGAAUGGGGCUCCUUAAUCUCUUUAGAUUUGUUGGAAAGUCUCAGUCCAUCUGCACUGACCUGUGACCUUAAUGUAGUGUUGCCACGUUGAUUUAUUACUCCUCCACUCCUGGUUUCUGUGGUUGCUGGGUGGAAAAAAUGGGUUGAUUGUCUCAAGAACCAGGGAACAGGUCAGGCAGGAAGGAGCAUUUUCAGCAUGUCUUGCAUGGCCAGUGAUCCAAUACCCAGAAAAAAUUCUUCAUUAAGGUGUUCUCUAACCAACAAGUAGAAACAUGCAUUGGGUAAAGGACUAAAAUACCUUUUGAAUCAAAUAUUGUGAAAGUAUCAGGAGUGGUGAACUUGCUGUCGAUUUGUAUAAAUCAGCCUGUGCACUUGUACAGAACUUUAUUUAAAUGUAUAUUGAAUUCUGUCACCUCUCUGUUGAUCCAGGUUAGGUAAGGAAGGGCUCAGACAAAGUCCAUGGAGCUGGUGGGAGGAAUCCACCUGGCUGCAAUGGGCAUUGUACCCCAGGAAAGAGGAAAGACUUAGAAGAGCACCUACAGGAAAAGGUACAAAGACAUCUAUAUGCAAAAAUCUCUCAGCUGCCUCCAUAUUCAGCUCCAUUUCAUCCUGUGCCAUUACAGAACCUGUGCCUCGGAAACGACAAUUAGUUACCAUGGAAAGGAAUUCAAGACCAUAAUAAAUACACUCAAAGGCUGCUCGCUCUGCCUAGGAUUCCAAAAUAAAAGUAAAAGUCCUCUGGAGAACUGGAUGCAGAUCAUGGAUGUUUAUGGGCAGUGAGUGCUUGUACAUCCCCAGGUUGAUGUCAUUUUUAUUCCAUUUUGCUCGUGUCUGGUUGUAUGGGAACAGCAAACCCCUCCAUGAUGCAGCUCUACUCCCUCCCAAGCCCAUCCUCUGACAGGAACCCCUUCACCCCAUCCUCAGUUUCAUUUUUCUAGAAAGAUUCCCAUCCUGUUGUUGAUAGGAGUUUACUCACACUCCUGGUUUGCUGCUGGGAUAGACAGGGACAGCCUAUAUGCUGCCCAUAUGUUCCUGGAUUUCUGCACACACAAAACCAGUGGCGUUUCCAUGUACCCGGAGCUGCCCAGGGCCAGCUUUGCCCUCCCAUUUUCCCCACGGAGCGGCAGGAGGAUGACAAUUCCCAGCUUGAGAUGAUGCAACCCUGCAGUGCUCUCACCAUUCAUGCCAACAAUUUCUUCCUCCAGCGUUUUCUCAGCUCCUGACAUUUUCCAGACAAUAGGCUGGAACCGCAGCACAUGGUUCUGCCUCAAGGAUCUGAAUGGAUGCUGGAAUAGAUCCCUUUAUAUUGUACUGCCUGCUUAUCCCUGGCUGUUCCCAGGGAACAGCAUUGCCCAAGCAAGGAUCUGGAUUCACCACCAGCCUUGGGAUGAUUUAUCCCCAGAUCAGAAGAAGGAGUUGCGACUUUUCCGUGUUAAAGUGCCCACAACUCAUUACACUUCCUUAAAACUGAUUAAACCCAAAAUUCCAUUCCAAACACUCAGCUGUGGAACAUUACGACAAUUUGGGCUGGGAAGGACCUUGAAAUACUGUAUCCAGUGAAUGAAUUUGUCAACUUUUAUUGCAGGAAAACAAAGUGUCACCAGUGUUUCCAUCCAAGGUGUGAUCCCGGCAUGUGUGCUGUGCUUCUUUCACUGAGACAAGGCCCUGAGUAUUUAGGUGCUUUCCUGAACUAAAAUGGGAUUUUUUCCCCCAUGGCUUCUAAGGCAGGUCAUGACAGGAAAACAGGUUCUAGGACAAAAACUACAGAAGAUCUCUGGUAGAGUGGUUUAGGUAAAACCAGUCUGUGCUUUUGUGAAUGCACAAAACAAGGGGUGCUCAACCCCUGUGGGAAGCCAAGAAAGAAGGAUCCCAGCCUGGAGCUGCUCCUGUGGUCCAGGUAAAGCUGGGUGAUCUCAUCUUUGCCAGUCUGGGAGGCAGAAUGGAGUCCUUGGCUGUGUCCAUGUCCUGUCUGGGACCCUCUGUCCUGCUCUGCCAGGACUACGGCUCUAUGGAAACACUGCUGGACAUCAUCAUUUAUGGCACUUCCAUCACCCUGGAAACAAAGUGGCUGCUCCCAGAGUGACUUUUAACACAGCUAAUUAUAUCAUUAAUGCCAGGGCCACUGAACCACAGCCGUGUCCCUUCCCUGGGCUGGCACUGCUGAUGUUUCCAUGGGAAUGACCGGGCUCCACACCUCGGAGGGAACACGCCUGAGAUGUGACAGGACCAGGGUGAAGUGCCACAGCUUUCUGCCACUCCUCCCAGGGCAGGUUUGGUGGCUAAUUCCAGUCCUGCAUUGGCUAAAAAAGACUAUUUGGAGAGCAAGGAACUGCUGGUGAAUUCAGUCUGAUUUAUUGAGCACUCUGGCCUGAAACAUUUCCGGUGCCAUCCCUGUGUGUGGGACUUUAGCAGCACUUCCACCUCAGAAUGCACUGAAGCAAAAUAAUUAGUUCAAUAAAAGAUAAUUACAAAAAAAAAAAAAAAAAUUUAAAUGAAA